GCCGGGCGUGGUGGCUCAUGCCUGUAAUCCCCAGCACUUUGGGAGGCUGAGGUGGGCGGAUCACCUGAGGUCAGGGGUUCGAGACCAGCCUGGCCAACAUGGUGAAACCCCAUCUCUA
rnacentral:SRP_RNA from 1 species